GUAGCGCCGCCGCAAACUUGUCUCUUAUUGAAGUAGACGGCAGUCCAUUCAGGGGCUUUUUGGGCACUUCAUGCCAUGAAUUCUUAGAAGCUUGAGAAGAAGCCAUGGGAAGUCCUAUGAGUAAGAAGCCCGAUGAAAUUGCGAAAUUUGGGCUUGAGAAGCUUGGUGAAAUUUGGGCAACUGGAUAUUCAAGAGGAAUUGGAGUUGUUUUCAGAAGAAUUCUUUGGAUUGGGAUUUGAGUUUCCUUAGAAAUCUGAUUUUUCUGUCUGAUCCUGAAGCUUUGGAGGGGAGAUUGCAGGAAUUUUCAAGUCGGAAGAUCAGUUUCUGGGUUGGUGAAGAUCGGAUUGGAAUUCUUUUUUUUUUUUUGUUUAAUAGGGUAAAUCACAGAUCACCAUAGAUUCAUAUACCUAGGUAUAAUCAAAGGCGUAUUUACAUCUCCAAGUUCUUAAAAAACAAAGAAAUCAGAAGAUCAACAUUUCAUAAUCACAGCCGAUGACGACGACGAUGAUAUUUAUGAUCUUCAGUCUUCGUUCUUAAUAGGAUCUUCAUAGUUGGGAUCAUUUACGGCGACAGCUUCUUUGUGGAUCCGUCCUAGCUCAGCAUCGGAGUAACAGCGCCAUGGCUACCUUUCUUCGGCAAUCCAUUCAUGCUUGUACCCGAUUUCCUGUCUCUCCUGAUCUCCUGACCGUUGCCGGCCUUCACAUUUGUUUUGGAGCUUUUGCCGGAAUUCCUCAUCUGUCUCUCUCCGUCCAUGGGUCUUCUAUAGCUACUCUAUCAAUUGAAGCGAGUGGAUUUGGAAUUCAGACAGAGGAUUAAAGCUCUGAUUUACUUGAAACGGUUCCUAAUUCUGAGGACUAAAGACGAUUAGAACCAUUGUUGAUUCUCGGUGGUUGAUAUGAGUUUUCAGAUGGAAGCCUUUUUUUUUUCUUUUGGGAUUUUUCCCCGCCUUUUAUCUUUACAACCAAUUGAAUUACUCAGAGAUUUGUUCCAAUGCACUUACCCUGUUAUGAAAGGUAAAAAAAUCUUCUUCAUAUGUUGUUUCUCCCAGAAAAAUUUCAAUAUCUAUUUUUUCAAGAGAAACAACUGGAUUAGAAGCUUAGUCUU